CGAGUUUACAACUCCCAAACCCAAUGUGAACGUUACCAAACUGUUGCCUCGGCGGGAUCUCUGCCCCGGGUGCGUCGCAGCCCCGGACCAAGGCGCCCGCCGGAGGACCAACCAAAACUCUUUUUGUAUACCCCCUCGCGGGUUUUUUUAUAAUCUGAGCCUUCUCGGCGCCUCUCGUAGGCGUUUCGAAAAUGAAUCAAAACUUUCAACAACGGAUCUCUUGGUUCUGGCAUCGAUGAAGAACGCAGCGAAAUGCGAUAAGUAAUGUGAAUUGCAGAAUUCAGUGAAUCAUCGAAUCUUUGAACGCACAUUGCGCCCGCCAGUAUUCUGGCGGGCAUGCCUGUCCGAGCGUCAUUUCAACCCUCGAACCCCUCCGGGGGGUCGGCGUUGGGGAUCGGCCCUCCCUUAGCGGGUGGCCGUCUCCGAAAUACAGUGGCGGUCUCGCCGCAGCCUCUCCUGCGCAGUAGUUUGCACACUCGCAUCGGGAGCGCGGCGCGUCCACAGCCGUUAAACACCCAACUUCUGAAAUGUUGACCUCGGAUCAGGUAGGAAUACCCGC
rnacentral:rRNA from 1 species